AUACGGAGGGUCCGAGCGUUAUCCGGAAUCAUUGGGUUUAAAGGGUCCGUAGGCGGGUUUGUAAGUCAGUGGUGAAAGUUUUCGGCUCAACCGGAAAAUUGCCAUUGAUACUGCAAGUCUUGAAUCAUUAUGAAGUGGUUAGAAUGUGUAGUGUAGCGGUGAAAUGCAUAGAUAUUACACAGAAUACCGAUUGCGAAGGCAGAUCACUAAUAAUGUAUUGACGCUAAGGGACGAAAGCGUGGGUAGCGAACAGGAUUAGAAACCCCGGUAGUCC
rnacentral:rRNA from 1 species